rnacentral:tRNA from 1 species
GCCUCUGUAGCUCUGUUGGUAGAGCAGAGGCCUGAAAAUCCUCGUGUCGUGGGUGCGAUUCCGACCGGAGGCACCA